rnacentral:misc_RNA from 1 species
AAGCUUAAUACAAAGUGUUGAAUGUUUAUAUCAAGUUGAAUAAAUAAUGAUUUAAAUAAAAAAUGAUAAUUUUUUUUUUUUCGAUUUUUUUAAAUGGAGAUGCAUACAAAGAUAAAGUAAUUUGAUUAUUAGCAAAUCUAAAUAGUACCAAUAAAGAAAUAUUUUCUAUUCGAAGAGAUUAAAAAAAACCAUCAUACAAUUAUAAAAAUAUUAACAAGAUUAUUAUUGUUAAUCGCAAUACUAAUUGCUAUUCUUCAACUGGUAUAGCCAACAGUAUUAUAUAUCAUAAUCAACAUAAUACCAAUAUUAGUAAGUUAAACAAGUGGAGAUGUUGUACAGAAAGUUCAAUUACUCUAUGUAAGUAAUAAGACUUAAAAAUAAUAAGAAUUAUGUUUAAUUAAAUUAAUGAUUAGUAUUGAUUGUUUUAUAAUUUAAUGAAUAUUGAUUUGUUUAUUACAUUAGAAUUGUAUUAUAUUUUUAAUAUUAAAUUAUUUUAGUUGCAUUGUUAAAUGAAAAAAUAUAAUGAAGGAGAAAAAAAAAGUCAAGAGAAAAAUAUCAAGUUGGGGCACAAGGUAAAAAUAAUAAAAAAUAUUUUUUCCCGGGGUGAAGAGUAUUCAACCUGGGAAUGUAGGAACUGACGUGUUAGUAGUGAGCUGACAUUGAGUAUUAAAAAUUUGUAGUCUAUUUCGAUUUGAAAAGGCUAUGGAAUGAUUAGUACUGAUGAGAGAAAUAUAUUAUAGAUGAGUAAUGUAUAAUAUAUGAGUCGCAGGUAAAUACAUGUUUUUACGAUUGAAAUAUAACGUUUUAUUUGAUUGUAAAUGUAGUGUAUUUAGUGUAGUCAAUUUUGACAAUAUGUGUUGAAUUGAUAUUUACACGAAUGUUAAAUAUAAGAGGUUGUUGUAUUAUUAUGGUUUCCAAAGAAUUAUAUGUGAUAAGUAUUAAUGUAUGACUCUACAUUGUUAUAUAGUAGUUAUGUUGUUUAUAUAUAUUUAUAUGUAUAUAUAUGAUAUAUAUAUUAUUGUAUAAUGGUGUUUUGGGAGCGUACAAUGUUGGAAUAUUUCGUAACCAUUGUUGAAAAGAAAAAGUAAUAAUUUUUUAUAAUAUAUUAUUAUUAUUAUUAUUAUAUUAUUAUUACUUUAUAUUCAAGGUUAUGGGGUAUUUUUACAAUGUAGUUUUAAUACUAUCUUAAAUUGCUAGUUAAAUUAAUAUAUUUUUCUUAUUAAUUAACUGGAUAAGAAAUUUUUAUGAUAUUUUUAUACAGUUUAUAUAUUAUAUGUAUAUAUAUGUUGUAUAAAUAAUAUAUAUUCAUUAAUGAUUUCUUAAAUAAUUCUUUUGUUUAUUAUAAAUAAUAGACAUAAAUGUAUUCAAUGUUAAUAAUAUGUAUAUUAUAUAUGAUAUAUAAUAUAUAUAAUAUAUAUGUUACAUGUAUAUAUUUGUAUAUAUUAUAUAUAUAUAUAUAUAACACAUAUUAUUAAUAUGAAUGAUAGU